GAAAUGCGAUAAGUAAUGUGAAUUGCAGAAUUCAGUGAAUCUUCGAAUCUUUGAACGCACAUUGCGCCCCCUGGUAUUCCGGGGGGCAUGCCUGUUCGAGCGUCAUUUCACCACUCAAGCCUCGCUUGGUAUUGGGCAACGCGGUCCGCCGCGUGCCUCAAAUCGACCGGCUGGGUCUUCUGUCCCCUAAGCGUUGUGGAAACUAUUCGCUAAAGGGUGUUCGGGAGGCUACGCCGUAAAACAACCCCAUUUCUAAGGUUGACCUCGGAUCAGGUAGGGAUACCCGCUGAACUUAAGC
rnacentral:misc_RNA from 1 species